AGUGAGUACCGAAAGUACGAGUUAUGUUGCCACCUACACUCUGUAACCUCAUUCUUUCCCCUCGUUAAUUAAUAAACGUACUAUAUUACCCAUUUUCAUUUUGCACUUAACCCUUCUUCGUUUCGGCUACACCUCUCUCUCUCUCAACGCAAUCUUUCUUCAAUCCUUGGAUCUCAACAUCCAGGUUUAACUCGGCUGGGGUUUUGGUUUACGAGUUGAAUCGGUAAUUAAGUUUAUGCAUGAUUGGAGGUGAAGCUGUGAUUAUAUAGUUGAAAAUGGGUUUUGAUAAUGAGUGCAUAAUUAAUAUUCAAUCUCUUGCUGGAGAGUAUUUUUGUCCUGUUUGUCGCCUUCUCGUGUUUCCGAAUGAAGCUUUGCAGUCACAAUGUACUCAUUUAUAUUGCAAGCCGUGUUUGACGUAUGUAGUGAGUACUACCAGGGCUUGUCCUUAUGAUGGUUAUUUGGUGACCGAAGCUGAUUCCAAGCCUUUGGUAGAGACGAAUAAGGCACUUGCUGAAACUAUUGGGAAAAUAGCAGUUCAUUGCUUGUAUCAUAGGAGUGGAUGCUCAUGGCAAGGAACUUUGUCUGAGUGUACAUCGCAUUGUUCUGGAUGUACUUUUGGCAACUCUCCUGUUGUUUGCAACAGGUGUGGGAUUCAAAUAGUGCACAGUCAAGUUCAAGAACAUGCACAAACUUGUUCUGGCGUGCAAGGUCAGGUACAGCAGGGGGGCAUUGCCCAGGACCCUUCAGCUACCGGUGCUUCUGCUGUUGCAUCUACCGAUCAAAACCAGGUUGCGGCUCCAGUUGCAGCAACAGCUUCACAACCAGUGACUUCUCAAUCAGUGGUUGCAACUAGUGCAGCUGGGCAUGUUUCAAAUCAGCCACCCAACCUGGCAUCUCAAACCCAAGCUUUAGGCCAAGCGGCUGUGCAGCCAACAGCAGAUCAAUGGUAUCAGCAGCAACACUAUCAACAAUAUUACCAGCAAUACCCUGGACAAGAUCAAUACCAACAGCAGUAUCAGCAGUAUUACCCUUAUCAACAGUCUUCUGUUCCACAAUACCAACAGGCCUAUGUCCAGCCACAGCCACAGCCACAGCCACAGCCCCAGUCGCAGUCUCAAGCACAGCCUCAGGCUCAAGGACUGUCUCAACCAGUUUCACAUGUGCAGACUCCUGCAGCUCCACAAUCUCAGAAUCAUAUGCAAGUUCACCAACAACCACAGCAGCUUCAACCUGCUGUACAGCCUCAUGGGCAGGUGAGUCACCCACCUGGCCAUGGUCAAGCCUUCCCUCAGCCUCAGUCUUAUCCUUACUCCCAAGUUCAGCCUCAUUCUGGGCAACCCCAACAAAAUAUGCAAAUCCCUCCUUAUCAGCAACCUCAUCCUCAAAUGCAGCAUCCACAACCUCAAAAUCAGCAACCAGUUCAGAAGUAUCCUGUUCCUCAACCUCAAGUACAUUCACAAAUGCAACCUAAUGCUCCAGUUCAACAUCCUUCUCAGCCUCAGAUGCAAUCUCACCUGCCCAUGGCUCCUAAUGUACAAUCUCAAGGGCAAAAUACAAUGUCACAUGCAGUUACAGGUCAUCACUCUUAUCCCCAACCUCUGCCUCAUCAGAAUAUGCAAGUGGGAGCCCCUCAAUCUAACAUGCACUUGAAUCCUUCAAGUGGGCAGCUCCAGGGCCAGCAUCCUGUCCAGGUGCAGAAUCAGUUUCCUCAGCAAACUCCAAUGAUGCGCCCAAAUCAGUCUCAUGCUAUGUAUCCUAAUCAGCAGGUAGCUUUGUUGCCUCCAUCUCUUCAAGGUCAAAGCACCCCUCCUCUGCAACCGCAGCCAGGAUACACUCCUAAUCAGCAAACUGGACAAACCAACCAACGUCCUAUUUUGCAACCGGUUCAACAAAUAUUACCUCAGCAACCAUUUGCACAACACCAGACCCCAAUGCCAUCUCAUCUUCGACCUCAAGGUCCUCCAGUACAUUCAUUUUCCAAGCAUGCUUAUCCCCAGUCCAAGGGUAAUAUCGCACUAUCUCAAAAUGUCGUUGGAAGGCCUUCAAUUCCCAAUCAUGCAGGACACGUACCGCCAUUUGCACACUCUGCCAAUACAAUUCCUGUUAGACCAGGGAAUCAGAAUAUGUUGGUUGGGACCAAUAAUCAAGUGCAGUCAAGGGCACCAGAACCAAUUGAAAGACAAGGUGAUGUCACUGAGCAACAAACUGACUCUGCCUCGGGGAAACUUGGAAAAAAUGAGUUGAAAUCUGAAAAAGAAACAAGGUUGAAAUCCACUGAGGUUGGGAGUAAGCAAAAUAGUGAAGAUCCACACUCUGUGAAGACUUUAGGCCCAAAUGCUAAUGCAUUUGAAAAUGGUGAUAGGUUGAAUAAGAAUGUUGGAAAGGGUGAGGCUUCUGAAAGCACCAAGGUUCAACAUGAUAGUAAUGAGCAUUCUGUUGUACAUGGCAAUGAGAUUCAAGGUGGACCUCCACUGAAGACAGAGACAAUACCCUCUGAAUCGGAAACUGAUAAACUGCACAGUGAUGAUACUCGUACUCCAAGGCCUCCUUCUGGUGCUGCCGAUCCUGCACCAGCUGUCUCUCAGACCAAUGGUGGUCACGGACCUGGCAUUGAUGAAUAUAGAGGAAUGCAGUCCGGGGGCUUAGCUCAGCCAGCUCAUCCAGCUUUCCAGCUGAGGUCUUCUACAGUUUUGACAUCACAAUUGCCACAUCCAACAGGUCCAAAUCAGCCUCUUUCUGCAGCAAACUCUUCAGCUCUUCUCAGGAAUCAUGGAGCUGCACCUGCACUUCAUUCAGGACAGGCCUUAAACUCCAUGGAUAAUUUUCAGCCAACCAUGUUUAAGCAACCAGCUGGUUCUGAUGUUCAGUUUAAUAUUCCAGGCCGCAGCUUUCAACCUCAGCCUCAUGGACCUCCAGCAGGACCAUAUAACCAAGUUCGUGAACCACCUUUCCAUACCGGAGCUUCCAAUUUGUCUCGAAGCGGAGGACCACAGUUUGGUGCCCCACCACAUGGAGAUAUGCACAGUGGAAUGACAGCCAACUUUCCACCACAUGCUCCUGAAGGUUUUGGUGUGCAGGAUGAAAGGUUCAAAUCUUUCCAAAUUCCUAGUCAACAAAAUAUUGAUCGGAGGGAGUUUGAAGAUGAUCUCAAGAAAUUCCCCAGGCAUCCUUUGGAUGCUGAACCAGGUUCUAAAUAUGGAAAUUAUUCAUUAGGUCCACAUGAAGCUGGAAAGAGACCUGUUGGCUUUCAUGAUGAUGCCAUCAAGAAACCAAAUUCAAAUCUUCAUUCUGGUCAUCUUGGACCAGGUCCUGGAUAUGGGAUACAUCCUAUGGAUGGAAUGGCUCCAAGAAGCCCUGGUAGUGAAUACAUGGAUAUGCCUUCCCGUAGAUUUGGGCCCCUCUCUGGUGGUCUUAUUAGCAAGUCAGGUAUAGAUGAUUUUGAGGGCAGAACUGCAAGUCGAUUUGUUGAUUCAGUUGGCAAUGCAUUCCGUGAUGGCCGGUUUCCUCAUCCCCCUAGCCAUUUGCAUAGAGACGAGUUUGACGGUUUUGGUAAUUUUCGAAUGGGCGAACAUCCAAGGAGGGGUAAUUUCACUGGUCAGGACGAAUUUGCUGGCCAUUUCCAAAGGGGCGAAAAUUUGGGUCCACAUAAUUUUCCUAGACAUUUGCGGCUGGGGGAGCGUAUUGGUUUUGGUGAUCAUCCUGGUCAUAUGCGAGCCUUUGAACUUAGUGGUUCUCGGAGUUUUGAAUCUUUUACCCAAGGCAGCAGGCCAGGUCAUCCGCAGCUUGGUGAACCUGGGUUUAGGAGCAGCUUUUCCCUCACAGGAUUUAAUAACGACACUGGAUUCUUAAACAGAGAUUCCCGGUUGUUUGAUAAUCCGAGGAGAAGAAAGGCCAUCAGUACGGGGUGGUGCCGGAUAUGUAAAAUUGACUGUGAAACAGUUGAAGGUUUGGAAUUGCAUUCUCAAACAAGGGAGCACCAGAAGAUGGCCAUGGAUGUAGUUAAAGCAAUCAAACAAAAUGCGAAGAAACAGAAAUUAAUACCCAGCGAACAAUCCUCCAUUGAAGAUGGAAAUAGAACAAGGGCUACUGGUUUUGAGGGUCAUGGAAAUAAGCAUUAAUGGAAAUAAGCAUUAAGUGGGUGUGGUUUGCAGUAGUUAAGGUUGCAGCUAUCAUGUUAAAUGGAGAUGCUUUUUGGAUCUGAAGUCCCGUGGCAAAUCGCUUCCUAGUUAAAGAUUAUAUCAUCUUUCUAUCACAAUGUUGGGAGCUUUCUUGAAGUGGUGAGAUAGACUUCUUGAUUGGCGAUUCUGGGUCUCAAUCUCUACCUUGUCAAUGUGUUUUUAUCAGGUUCGUGAUUUUCAAUCUUAAUAAUUUAUGCUAAAAGGUUCCGUAUUAACUAAAAUAACCGUCUUUCCUUUGGCCUAACUGAGUUGAAUUGCCUAUUGAAUGAUUAGUCUCUCUUGUUUAUUGAUUCUUUUUCUUCUGCGGCACUUUUCUUAACGAUACUAAUAUUAUGAUCAAGUAGAAUAGUACCUUGUGUUGCACUCAUUUAUGAACCUCAAUGGUCAUUUAGUUCUUUUGAACUUAAUUUUAGGAAUAACCCCAUUUUCAAUCCAACCCCCUUUGAACAAGAGAGCUCUUCAAAUGAUGUUCAGUGAGAGAUAUUAACAUUCUAAGUUGCUGAUUACAGUGUCUCUUUAGAGGCAGGAUUUAGCUUUUAGGACUACAACAUGAAAAUAUAGUUAGCUUUCUGUAGGAAUAUGGAACUUUAAUUAAGGAUCACAUAACUAGGAACUUAGAAUGUCGGAAAGCAAUUAACAAAUGGAUAUUUUAGAGGUUUUAGAUGCGCUUGAAUUGUUACGAUCUUAAACUAUAGGAAUAUAGUUAGGAAUAUGAAACUUUAAUUAAGGAUCACAUAACCAGGAACUUACAAUGUCGGAAAGCAAUUAACAAAUGGAUAUUUUAGAGGUUUUAGAUGUGCUUGAAUUGUUACGAUCUUAAACUAUAGGAAUAGCUGAUAUUCAAAUUGACUUAAAGAUGGAAGGAGAGCUACUUCUGGAGAUUAAGAAAGAGAUUAAGAAAUUCAUGCUUGUAAGUGAUACUUGCUGCAGUAUAUUUUUAAUAACACAUAAUUUGGUAGCCAUGUAUCACUAUUUGGCCGAACUGGGGAAAAAGGGGGUGAUGGGAAUUGGAUCCUCAUUUGAAAUUUUCAUUUUAUUGUCUUGUAAAAUUUGAUGUUUCUCAUAGCAUUGAAUAGGUGUGAUACUAUCAACAUUUAUUGAUACAUGCAUGAAGAGAUAGAUAAUGCUAUAAAACUACUUUUCCCCACGAAUAUUCAACAUUUAGUGACACUAGUCAAACUAGUUUUUGCAGCAUCGCUUCAACUGAAUGUAAUUGAAAUACCGAAUCACUCCUAGGGACAAACUAGCAAAGUUUUAAGUUGUGAUUGUGUGUGUACGAAGUUUGCCUAAUUGUAUCAUAUUCAUAGGGCUAGGAUCCAUUAUUUAUAAAUUCUAAUUAUUUGAAAAAUCAUCUUUUCUAACUCACCAUUAAUAAUUUUAUAAUAGUUUGGAAAAUAAUUAAAAAUUAAAAAUACUUAUUCUCCAUAAGAUAGGAAACAAACAUUGUGAAUUUCAUGAUCGGUACAAUUUCUCAUGGGGUAUAUAUAUUUUUAACAAUGAAAAAUUAAGUUUACACAUUUACCACAAUAUGGUCCCUGGAAUUUAUAAUAUCUCGUAAAUUAUGUUCAUUUGUAAUAAAAUAAAGAAUUUGUGAAACUUAUAAAAGAUUUGUAGAUUUGAGAAAAUAGAGAUUCAAAUUGUAGAAAGUAGGAUAGGCUCGGUCACUAUCAAUUUUUUUAAUUACUAUCAAUUAUUUACAAAUUACAAAAUGCUUAUUUGGAAGAUAUAAAAAAUACAUAAUUUUUGGGUGUUGGUGUCAAAGUUUUAAGAAUUAGAAUAGACUUGCAUACAAUUUAUUAAUCCAAGUGAAAAGAGAUUUGAGCUUCUUAAACAAGUGCUCAGGUUAAAGGUUGGUAUCUGCAACUAUAUAUUGGAAACGACUUUGAGGAUGGUGUGUAGAAAUUUUGGAUGAUAAAUAAAGUGGAGACACUCUCGAUAAGCUAUCGUCUCUUUGCAAUUAUAAGUUUUUUUGAAUAAGACUUUCAAGCAAAAUUAAAUUAGAUAACUAAUUUUUUUUUCCUGCCAACCCAUUGUAAUUAAAAUUGACUUAGUGGAUGUUUCAAAUGUUUCAAAGUAUUCUCACAUCUUAUAUUUUUGAGAAUGUUAUGUGACGAAAUUCAUGUCCUCAAUGAAAUUUCUUUAUUUUA